AUUGAACGCUGGCGGCAGGCUUAACACAUGCAAGUCGAGCGGGGUGAUGGUGCUUGCACUAUCACUUAGCGGCGGACGGGUGAGUAAUGCUUAGGAAUCUGCCUAUUAGUGGGGGACAACAUCUCGAAAGGGAUGCUAAUACCGCAUACGUCCUACGGGAGAAAGCAGGGGAUCACUUGUGACCUUGCGCUAAUAGAUGAGCCUAAGUCGGAUUAGCUAGUUGGUGGGGUAAAGGCCUACCAAGGCGACGAUCUGUAGCGGGUCUGAGAGGAUGAUCCGCCACACUGGGGCUGAGACACGGCCCAGACUCCUACGGGAGGCAGCAGUGGGGAAUAUUGGAAAAUGGGGGGAACCCUGAUCCAGCCAUGCCGCGUGUGUGAAGAAGGCCUUAUGGUUGUAAAGCACUUUAAGCGAGGAGGAGGCUCUUUUGGUUAAUACCCAAGAUGAGUGGACGUUACUCGCAGAAUAAGCACCGGCUAACUCUGUGCCAGCAGCCGCGGUAA
rnacentral:rRNA from 1 species